rnacentral:misc_RNA from 1 species
UAAAUGCGAUAAGUAGCGUGAAUUGCAGACACUUUGAACGUUAAAAUUUCGAACGCACAUUGCGCCAUAGGAGUCCUACCCUAUGGCACAUCUGUCUGAGGGUCGUGAUUAAAGACAGCCCAGCAUUUGGGGGCUGUAAGUUGCAUUGGUGAAUCAUUCGACUGGCAUGCCUUUUUGUCGGUAGUGUUUUGCUAUAAUGCUUUAGAGGGAAUCUUGCUUCGGUCGUGCCUUUGAACGAAGUCCUAUAGGUUCUUCCUUACCACACGGAUGAUCUAUUAGCUGAAGCAAUAGGUCUCGGUCACCGGGUAUCAUACUAACUAUAUACUCUGUGGCGUCUGAGAUACAGCUAGUGGGCUUCAUACGUGCCUGGUAUUGAGAGUAUUCGCUCUCCCGACCUCAA